ACUUCCUUCGCGUGGCUGCAAUCGGGAAGGGCGGAGCUAGUUUGUUCCUUUUGGUCAGGGAGAAAAGAAACUUUACAAUAAAGAAACCGGGGAGAUGCCACCUUAACCAAAUGAUCGCAGGUCAGUCUGUCAAGCAGUACCCUGUCACUGGUGGCUAAGAAGAUGAAGAUAACUACCCAUGGGAUUCCAUGAACAGAGCAGUCAUCUCUACUGACCUCAGCCACAAAACACCAGCCUUUCUAGCUUCCCUGGAUCCUUUGCUAACUGUGUUUUUUUCUGGGAUAGUAUGUGGUUCUCUAUUUGGCUUGAGAACAGAACACUCCUUCAAAUGGUUGAAGUAUCUUCAUUAUAUACAUGGUCUGCGCUUUAUCAUACUAAUUUUUUUUUCGAGGCAAGUUCUCACUCUGUCGUCCAGGCUGGAGUGCAGUGGCAUG